GCCGAAGUGGCGGAAUGGCAGACGCGGCGGUCUCAAAAACCGUUGAGGGGAAACCCUCGUGCGGGUUCGACCCCCGCCUUCGGCACCA
rnacentral:tRNA from 1 species